UACGUAGGGGGCAAGCGUUGUCCGGAAUCAUUGGGCGUAAAGAGCGUGUAGGCGGUUCGGUAAGUCGGCUGUGAAAGUCCAGGGCUCAACCCUGGGAUGCCGGUCGAUACUGCCGGACUAGAGUUCGGAAGAGGCGAGUGGAAUUCCCGGUGUAGCGGUGAAAUGCGCAGAUAUCGGGAGGAACACCUAUGGCGAAGGGCAG
rnacentral:rRNA from 1 species